rnacentral:rRNA from 1 species
GCGACGCUGGCGGCGUACUUAGGCACAUGCAAGUCGAACGAGGAUCAUCGGUUGGUAGCAAUACAAUUGGUCGAUCCUAGUGGUCGCACGGGUGAGUAACACGUGGGUGACCUGCCCUAGAGGAGUUCGAGGAUACCCCCCUCGAAAGGGGGGGCUAAUACCGGAUACGUUCCCCUCGGUUUGAAAGAUAUCGGGAGGAGGAAAGGUGGCGCAAGCUUGCCGCUCUUGGAGGGGCUACGCGGCCGCUAUCAGCUAGUUGGCGGUGGUAACGCGCCCACCAAGGCUAUGACGGGUAGCUGGUCUGAGGAAGACGACCAGGCACACCGGGAGGACUGAGACACGGCCCCAGACCUCCUACGGGAGGCAGCAGUGGGAAUUUUCCGCAAUGGGCGAAAGCCUGACGGAGUGACGCCGCGUGGGGGACGAAGGCUUCGGGUCGUAAACCCCUGUCAGUGGGAAAGUAAGGGUGUCGGGCUAAUACCUCCGGCAUCUGACCCUGGUACCUGCAGAGGAAGCCCCGGCCAACCCUGUGCCAGCAGCCGCGGUCAGACAGAGGGGUGGCAAAGCUGUUGCUCGACUAUACUGGGCGUAAAGGGCGACGUAGCGUACGGGAUGGCAAGUCGGUCCGUGGAAAGCCCUCGGCUCAACCGAGGAACGUCGAUCGAUACUGCUGUUCUUUGAGGAUUGCAGCAGGAGACUGGAAUUCCGGGGUAGCGCGUGGUGAAAUGUGUAGUAGCAUCCGGGAGGAACACCGGUGGCGAAGGCGGGUCUCUGGUCAAUUCCCUGACAGCUGAGUGCCGUCGAAAGCGUGGGGAGCAAACUGGGAUUAGAUACCCCGGUAUAGUCCACGCUGUAACACGAUGACGACUAUGGAUGUGGGGGGUGUCAGUCCCUAUUCAUCGUUCCGCAGCUAACGCAUUAAGUCGUCCGCCUGGGGAGUACCGGCCGCAAGGUUGAAACUCAAAGGAAUUGACGGGGGGCCCGCAACAAGCGUGGUGGCAUGUGGUUCAAUUCGAGUGCAGAGCUGAAGAACCUAUACCUGGGCUUGACAGUGCAGGAUAGUAGAAGCCGUGAAACGGUGGUACGACCUGUUAAGUCAGGAACCUGCACAGGUGGUGCAUGGCUGUCGUCAGCUCGUGCCGUGAGGUGUUGGGUUAGUCCCUCGCAACGAGCGCAACCCUCACUCUAUGUUGCCAUAUCGGGUAAUGCCGGGCACACUUCUUAGGGAACUGCCAGGCGAAGAGCUGGAGGAUAGGGGGGAUGACGUCAACGUCCGUAUGCCCCUUAUGCCAGGGCUACACCACAACUGCUUACAAUGGCCCGGAUACAGAGGGGUUCCCAACCCCGCAAGGGGGAGGCAAUCCCACAAAGUCGGUCUCAGUUCGGAUUGCAGGCUGCAACUCGCCUGCAUGAAGUCGGAAUCGCUAGUAAGCGCAGAUCAGCAGGCUGCGCUGAAUACGUUCCCGGGCCUUCGUACACACCGCCCGUACACACCACGAAAGCCGGUUGUACCAGAAGUCGCUGACGCCCAACCGCAACGGAGGCAGGCGCCGCUAGUAUGGUCGGUGAUUGGGGUG